rnacentral:tRNA from 1 species
CGGCGCCGGGCGCCCGCCUCGCGUCAGGAGCUCACGUCUCCUGAGGGAAUGCGGGCGCUCGACCCGGCCUGCGCCGACC